rnacentral:tRNA from 2 species
GCCCGUAUAGCUAAGUGGUUAAGGCGCCACACUUGUACAAUUCUCACCGAAAGUACGCAUGUGGCGAUACCGCAGGUUCAAAUCCUGCUGCGGGCA